CCGGAGCUUGCUCCACCGAAAGAAAAGGAGUGGCGAACGGGUGAGUAACACGUGGGUAACCUACCCAUCAGAAGGGGAUAACACUUGGAAACAGGUGCUAAUACCGUAUAACAAUCGAAACCGCAUGGUUUUGAUUUGAAAGGCGCUUUCGGGUGUCGCUGAUGGAUGGACCCGCGGUGCAUUAGCUAGUUGGUGAGGUAACGGCUCACCAAGGCCACGAUGCAUAGCCGACCUGAGAGGGUGAUCGGCCACAUUGGGACUGAGACACGGCCCAAACUCCUACGGGAGGCAGCAGUAGGGAAUCUUCGGCAAUGGACGAAAGUCUGACCGAGCAACGCCGCGUGAGUGAAGAAGGUUUUCGGAUCGUAAAACUCUGUUGUUAGAGAAGAACAAGGAUGAGAGUAACUGUUCAUCCCUUGACGGUAUCUAACCAGAAAGCCACGGCUAACUACGUGCCAGCAGCCGCGGUAAUACGUAGGUGGCAAGCGUUGUCCGGAUUUAUUGGGCGUAAAGCGAGCGCAGGCGGUUUCUUAAGUCUGAUGUGAAAGCCCCCGGCUCAACCGGGGAGGGUCAUUGGAAACUGGGAGACUUGAGUGCAGAAGAGGAGAGUGGAAUUCCAUGUGUAGCGGUGAAAUGCGUAGAUAUAUGGAGGAACACCAGUGGCGAA
rnacentral:rRNA from 1 species